AGACGUGGCAAGCGUUGUUCGGAAUUACUGGGCGUAAAGGGCGCGUAGGCGGCCCGUCAAGUCCCGUGUGAAAGCCCCCGGCUCAACCGGGGAACGGCGCGGGAAACUAGCAGGCUUGAGCUCGGGAGAGGGAAGCGGAAUUCCGGGUGUAGCGGUGAAAUGCGCAGAUAUCCGGAGGAACACCGGUGGCGAAGGCGGCUUCCUGGACCGACACUGACGCUGAGGCGCGAAAGCUAGGGGAGCAAACGGGAUUAGAUACCCCGGUAGUCCUAGCCCUAAACGAUGAGAACUGGGUGUAGGGGGUAUGAACCCCCCCUGUGCCGAAGCUAACGCAUUAAGUUCUCCGCCUGGGGAGUACGGUCGCAAGGCUG
rnacentral:rRNA from 1 species